rnacentral:rRNA from 1 species
UACGUAGGGGGCAAGCGUUGUCCGGAAUCAUUGGGCGUAAAGAGCGUGUAGGCGGCCAGAUAAGUCCGCUGUGAAAACUCGAGGCUCAACUUCGAGCUGUCGGUGGAAACUAUUUGGCUAGAGUCCGGAAGAGGAGAGUGGAAUUCCUGGUGUAGCGGUGAAAUGCGCAGAUAUCAGGAAGAACACCCGUGGCGAAAGCGGCUCUCUGGAACGGUACUGACGCUGAGACGCGAAAGCGUGGGGAGCGAACAGG